UGCAGUCGAGCGGUAACAGGGGAAGCUUGCUUCCCGCUGACGAGCGGCGGACGGGUGAGUAAUGCUUAGGAAUCUGCCCAGUAGUGGGGGAUAGCCCGGGGAAACCCGGAUUAAUACCGCAUACGUCCUACGGGAGAAAGCAGGGGAUCUUCGGACCUUGCGCUAUUGGAUGAGCCUAAGUCGGAUUAGCUAGUUGGUGGGGUAAAGGCCUACCAAGGCGACGAUCCGUAGCUGGUCUGAGAGGAUGAUCAGCCACAUCGGGACUGAGACACGGCCCGAACUCCUACGGGAGGCAGCAGUGGGGAAUAUUGGACAAUGGGGGCAACCCUGAUCCAGCCAUGCCGCGUGUGUGAAGAAGGCUUUCGGGUUGUAAAGCACUUUCAGUAGGGAGGAAAACCUUAUGGUUAAUACCCAUGAGGCUUGACGUUACCUACAGAAGAAGCACCGGCUAACUCCGUGCCAGCAGCCGCGGUAAUACGGAGGGUGCAAGCGUUAAUCGGAAUUACUGGGCGUAAAGCGCGCGUAGGUGGUUUGGUAAGCGAGAUGUGAAAGCCCCGGGCUUAACCUGGGAACGGCAUUUCGAACUGUCAGACUAGAGUGUGGUAGAUG
rnacentral:rRNA from 2 species